CCCUUAGAUGUUCUGGGCUGCACGCGCGCUACACUGACACAUUCAUCGAGUUCCUAGUCUGAAAAGAUUUGGUAAUCUUUUGAAAGUGUGUCGUGACGGGGAUAGAUUAUUGCAAUUAUUAAUCUUGAACGAGGAAUUCCUAGUAAGCGCGAGUCAUCAGCUCGCGUUGAUUAUGUCCCUGCCCUUUGUACACACCGCCCGUCGCUCCUACCGAUUGAAUGUUCCGGUGAACUUAUCGGACUAAUAUAAACUUGUUUUGUAUUGGAAAGAUCAGUAAACCUUAUCAUUUAGAGGAAGGAGAAGUCGUAACA
rnacentral:rRNA from 1 species